GCUCAGCGUCGAUGGCGGACAGGGGGUCAUUCAUCCAGCUCUCUGACCAGCGCAGCCAGUCAGAGGCUGUGGUCCAGAGGUCCAGGUUCUUGGCAAGGAUGUCCAGCAUGGAAGUGGCCAGGGCCUUGCGCUUCUUGGACAGGCUCUGCUUGACGUUGUCAGUGUUGAUGUAGAAAGGUCCGAUGAUGAUGCUGCUGGGCAGCGAACUGUCCAGGAUCUCCUUCUCCUGCAGAACCGUGCCUGGUUCGUGGCAAGUGCUCAAAGAAUAUUUCUCCGCUGAGUAACUCAAUGACAAAGUGAGUGAAGGUCACCAGAAGCAAUGCAAG